AUACCAUCCAGAGAAGCGGAGGGACUGGCCCGAUGAUGCUUCAGCAACCUACUGUUAGAGUGUGGUGCUAAUUCCAGACAGAUGGAGA
rnacentral:ncRNA from 20 species